GACGAACGCUGGCGGCGUGCCUAAUACAUGCAAGUCGAACGCUGAAGGAGGAGCUUGCUUCUCUGGAUGAGUUGCGAACGGGUGAGUAACGCGUAGGUAACCUGCCUGGUAGCGGGGGAUAACUAUUGGAAACGAUAGCUAAUACCGCAUAAGAGUAGAUGUUGCAUGACAUUUGCUUAAAAGGUGCAAUUGCAUCACUACCAGAUGGACCUGCGUUGUAUUAGCUAGUUGGUGGGGUAACGGCUUACCAAGGCGACGAUACAUAGCCGACCUGAGAGGGUGAUCGGCCACACUGGGACUGAGACACGGCCCAGACGCCUACGGGAGGCAGCAGUAGGGAAUCUUCGGCAAUGGACGGAAGUCUGACCGAGCAACGCCGCGUGAGUGAAGAAGGUUUUCGGAUCGUAAAGCUCUGUUGUAAGAGAAGAACGAGUGUGAGAGUGGAAAGUUCACACUGUGACGGUAGCUUACCAGAAAGGGACGGCUAACUACGUG
rnacentral:rRNA from 1 species